CACGUAGGGCGCAAGCGUUGUCCGGAAUUAUUGGGCGUAAAGAGCUCGUAGGCGGUUUGUCGCGUCUGCUGUGAAAACUCGGGGCUUAACCCCGGGCCUGCAGUGGGUACGGGCAGACUAGAGUGCGGUAGGGGAGACUGGAAUUCCUGGUGUAGCGGUGAAAUGCGCAGAUAUCAGGAGGAACACCGGUGGCGAAGGCGGCAUCCUGGACCGAGAUUGACGCUGAGGCGCGAAAGCCAGGGGAGCAAACGGG
rnacentral:rRNA from 1 species